UCCCCUGCGCUCCUGCCACAUCCCAGCCCGCCCCCAUCGGCAUUUCAGAGGGAGGGGAGGAAAGCUCUGCUCCAUCUCACACCAAAGUGGGUGCCCCCCACCCGUAGCAGAGGAUCAAACCGUGAACCAAGAGUUUCUUUGGCCUCAAACGAAAGUUUUCAUCUUUUUUUGUUUGCUUUUUCCUCCAGCGAAGCCGGGUCUGGGCUGACUUCCUUUGCUUUCAGGUUCACUUUGAAAUAACAAGCUGAAAAGCCGUGAGGCUUCGUUUUUGAGCCUGCCAGGGAAUGGGCGACUUCAGAAGGAAACAGAAAUAUCGGGAAAGCUUGAUGUUAACUGUUUCAUUGUUUCCAAGAGGAAAAAAAACCCUGUAAUUCCCUCUGCGGCGGACUUUAGCCGGGAUGCACAAAUAGUGCUGGGUCCACAGAUCUCUUGUUCUGUGCCUGUAUUUGCGUUUCGGCAGGGAGGAAGGGGGGCUCGGAGCUGGAAUUCCCGGAGGGAAUGCCUCUCCCGGGAUUUUGCUGUCGCACGGUGAGGACGGAAGGUCCCCAGCCCCGCGGAGCAGGACACAGGUGAGGCCGGGAGAGGCUGCUCCUGCCUGGAAAGGGAGAGCUUUGAGGCGCACGGUGCCCAUGGAGAGCCUCCCUGGAAAUGUUCCCUGCCAAGGAGGCGCCUGGGAAUUCCGGGAGCCGGCGGUGUCCUGUUGAUAGCACAGCCCCGGGUAACUCAUUGACCUCUGCUGGGAAGCGGAGGUUCCCAGGAUGAUAAGGAGCUCCUGGAAGGAAUUCCUCCCCUGGUGUGAGGGAGUGGCAGCGCUGGGCACGCUCGCAAACACGUCCGCACCCCCGGGAGCUCCAUCCCGGCAGCGCAGCGCUCCCUCGGGGCUUGGAGAGGCUGGAAUUUCAUCCAGGAGUUCUCCGGGAGAGAAGCGGAGCUGGGAGCAGGGGCUGCGUUGCUGUUGCCCAAAGAUGCUCUGCAGACCACGCACAGCGCAGUGAGCCCGCCCAGCCAUCCCAAAUCCUCACCCUGAGGGCUGGGGAUGGUGUGAGGAUGUGAGUGAGGAGGGAAUGAGGCUCAUCCUCAUCCUGGGACGCCCAAGGGAUCCUGCACAGCGGCCAAACCAGUCCGUGCUGGUGUUGGGGUUUGGCCAGCGCUGAGCGCGGGGGUGCCCGCAGUGCCAGGGCUGCAGGAGCUCGCCUGGAUGCAGCUGGCAGAGAUGCCCGUGGUGCUGCCAGCUGCCCCCGCGGGGACACGGGGAAAGCACGGGGCAGGGAGGAGGCCCAGGAGCAGAGCCAGCCCCGGAUGGAGGAUGCUGGACACCCCCAGAGGUGAGGAGUGUGAGUCCUGCUGGCCCCGCUCCCCCGAGCUCCUGCCCCGCUGGGACCGCCUGCACCACCGGGGACAAUGGUGGUGG